CGCCGCGUGAGUGAUGAAGGUUUUCNGAUCGUAAAACUCUGUUNNNNAGGGAAGAACAAGUACCGUUCGAAUAGGGCGGNACCUUGACGGUACCUAACCAGAAAGCCACGGCUAACUACGUGCCAGCAGCCGCGGUAAUACGUAGGUGGCAAGCGUUGUCCGGAAUUAUUGGGCGUAAAGCGCGCGCAGGCGGUUUCUUAAGUCUGAUGUGAAAGCCCCCGGCUCAACCGGGGAGGGUCAUUGGAAACUGGGGAACUUGAGUGCAGAAGAGGAGAGUGGAAUUCCACGUGUAGCGGUGAAAUGCGUAGAGAUGUGGAGGAACACCAGUGGCGAAGGCGACUCUCUGGUCUGUAACUGACGCUGAGGCGCGAAAGCGUGGGGAGCGAACAGGAUUAGAUACCCUGGUAGUCCACGCCGUAAACGAUGAGUGCUAAGUGUUAGAGGGUUUCCGCCCUUUAGUGCUGCAGCAAACGCAUUAAGCACUCCGCCUGGGGAGUACGGUCGCAAGACUGAAACUCAAAGGAAUUGACGGGGGCCCGCACAAGCGGUGGAGCAUGUGGUUUAAUUCGAAGCAACGCGAAGAACCUUACCAGGUCUUGACAUCCUCUGACAACCCUAGAGAUAGGGCUUCCCCUUCGGGGGCAGAGUGACAGGUGGUGCAUGGUUGUCGUCAGCUCGUGUCGUGAGAUGUUGGGUUAAGUCCCGCAACGAGCGCAACCCUUGAUCUUAGUUGCCAGCAUUCAGUUGGGCACUCUAAGGUGACUGCCGGUGACAAACCGGAGGAAGGUGGGGAUGACGUCAAAUCAUCAUGCCCCUUAUGACCUGGGCUACACACGUGCUACAAUGGGC
rnacentral:rRNA from 1 species